rnacentral:sRNA from 1 species
AGAAAAGUAGGUGCCGCCCCGCACAGGGGCGACGCCUGAAGCACGCUAACAAACCGCGGAUGCCAGCGAAACCACAAGCAGACCACCCAGCUCGCGCAGCAACAAAAAAAACACCCCCCGGUAUCCCCGU